rnacentral:rRNA from 1 species
GUAGGUGGCAAGCGUUGUCCGGAAUUAUUGGGCGUAAAGCGCGCGCAGGCGGUUCUUUAAGUCUGAUGUGAAAGCCCACGGCUCAACCGUGGAGGGUCAUUGGAAACUGGAGAACUUGAGUACAGAAGAGGAAAGCGGAAUUCCACGUGUAGCGGUGAAAUGCGUAGAGAUGUGGAGGAACACCAGUGGCGAAGGCGGCUUUCUGGUCUGUAACUGACGCUGAGGCGCGAAAGCGUGGGGAGCAAACAGGGAUUAGAUACCCUGGUAGUCCACGCCGUAAACGAUGAGUGCUAAGUGUUAGGGGGUUUCCGCCCCCUUAGUGCUGCAGCUAACGCAUUAAGCACUCCGCCGUGGGGAGUACGGCCGCAAGGCCG